GGACCCGCACAAGCAGCGGAGCAUGUGGUUUAAUUCGAAGCAACGCGAAGAACCUUACCAAGGCUUGACAUCCCCUUGACCGGUGCAGAGAUGUACCCUCUCCUUCGGGAGCAAGGGAGACAGGUGGUGCAUGGUUGUCGUCAGCUCGUGUCGUGAGAUGUUGGGUUAAGUCCCGCAACGAGCGCAACCCUUAUCCUUAGUUGCCAGCAGGUAAAGCUGGGCACUCUAAGGAGACUGCCGAUGAUAAAUCGGAGGAAGGUGGGGAUGACGUCAAAUCAUCAUGCCCCUUAUGUCUUGGGCUACACACGUGCUACAAUGGUCGGUACAACGGGGAGCGAAGGAGCGAUCCGGAGCAAAUCCCAAUAAACCGAUCCCAGUUCGGAUUGUAGGCUGCAACUCGCCUACAUGAAGUCGGAGUUGCUAGUAAUCGCGAAUCAGAACGUCGCGGUGAAUGCGUUCCCGGGUCUU
rnacentral:rRNA from 1 species